AUCUUCAUGGAAAUCAAUCAUGCGCUGGAUGUCUUUGUCACUAGAUAUGGUGAUAAGCGUCUGCUUGUUAUUGGGUAGGAAAUAUUUGAUGGUCAAGGAAUUAGGAUCAUAAUUCCACAUGUCUGCCACCUCCGACUUCAAGUCACAAAAUUUGCUUUUACGGUUUACACUAAGAGCAUGAGCAUCUCCACCUGUGUACGACAAGGAACCAUCACUAGCUGAGGUGAACUUCCCACCUGAUUGACAUAUA
rnacentral:misc_RNA from 1 species